rnacentral:rRNA from 1 species
AGAGUUUGAUCCUGGCUCAGAACGAACGCUGGCGGCAGGCCUAACACAUGCAAGUCGAACGGGAUCUUCGGAUCUAGUGGCGGACGGGUGAGUAACGCGUGGGAACGUGCCCUUUGGUUCGGAAUAGCCCUGGGAAACUGGGAGUAAUACCGGAUGUGCCCUUCGGGGGAAAGAUUUAUCGCCAAAGGAUCGGCCCGCGUUGGAUUAGGUAGUUGGUGGGGUAAUGGCCUACCAAGCCGACGAUCCAUAGCUGGUUUGAGAGGAUGAUCAGCCACACUGGGACUGAGACACGGGCCAGACUCCUACGGGAGGCAGCAGUGGGGAAUCUUAGACAAUGGGGGAAACCCUGAUCUAGCCAUGCCGCGUGAGCGAUGAAGGCCUUAGGGUUGAAAAGCUCUUUCGUGGGGGAAGAUAAUGACUGUACCCCAAGAAGAAGCCCCGGGUAACUCCGUGCCAGAAGACGUGGUAAUACGGAGGGGGCUAG